AAGAACUCACACCCACAAGGUAAAAUACAUUCACCCCUCUAUCUGCUUAGACAAAUAGUAGGGCUCUCGAUCAAGAAGAUAAAUUACAAGAGUUACCCACAUGCCUACCAAAAUACUAUUUCAAAGAAUAUACUCUUAUGUUCCACAAAUUUCAUAAUGGUUGAGGAUUUCCAAAUUGACGAAAUCACAGAGUGCCAAAUCAUAACCAAAC
rnacentral:lncRNA from 1 species